AAUAAAUUGCCUGAAAUAGGGAUACUUUGAUGCGGUAUUUACAUAAAUUAUAUUAUUUAUAUUUAUUA
rnacentral:tRNA from 1 species